GCUACUAGUAUAUUGUUGUAGCCAAUUUCAGAGAUGGUAGAUUCGAAGUCAUAUGCCCUUUCAAGGAUAUAGCAAUAAUACAAUCAGAUGCCUUCAAUGUUAUUUGCAAAUUCAGAAAAGUCUUCAAAGCAGUUCAUUCAAGAUCUACAAGGGUUGACAUAUACGACAUGCCCACUGUUUUUGGAAGUGUCUCCAACCAGACCAACCACAAUGACAGUGGGGUUUUUGUUCUACAACUUCUUCUAGCGUACGAUGGCAAGACACAUUUCCACUUCAAAGAGGAGCAUGCGAAGCCAUUGCGUGAAUCUAUAACAUAUUAUCUAUGCACUCAUGAGGAGAACGAAUUGAUCAUGCCAGAAAUAAAGGACAUUGCAAGACAACAUAUAAGACCACUUUUUAUCACUCAGAAAUUUUGUGGAGACCACCUUUU